CCAUUCCCCUGAUUACUUCCCUGUGGCCCCAGAUUUGUACAGAUCUUUGUUUCUUUCCCUCUAGAAUCUUGGAUCAGUUCCCCAGUUCCCCAUUGACCUUCAUAGCCCUCAGAAUGCUGGCCAAAGCCAGAGGGCCAAGACAACGGAGCCAAGAGGAGAAGUGGGAAGGACACAGACCUCAGCCGGACAUGAUUCUGCCGACACAUCCCUGGAAAACCUCUGCCCCAUCAAGAGAUGCCUCCUGCUGCUUGGGGCCAUCGGGCUACUGGCAGGGGCCGCCAUCGGGAUGUGGCUUCUAGUGAAAUUCCUGACAGCGCCCCUGACAGACCAGGAUCCCAGCCCCCUGCAGGACGUGGAGUCGAUCCCAAUCUGCACAGACGCCAGGGAAGACGAGCCCGUCAUCACCACGGCUCCCAGGAGAGGUUUGAGAUCUUUACUCCCCACGCCCCUUCUCUCCCUGUGGAGAGGAUGUGUCGCCUAGUGCCUUCAGCUGGACCUUUCACUCACAGUGAUCUGUGGAAACCCCCUGGAAUCCAGCCUGACCUAAGAGCAAGGUCAAAGGCAAAGCAAAGAAUGAGGCUGUCUCUGUGCCUUUGCCUGCCCCUUUCUCGUUGUCACAGACCAGAAAGUUCCCCCACAUUCUGUUUUUCUCCUUGAGUUUUGCAGUAAAAAGCCUCUUCCCUCCCCGGAGGAUGUUUGCAUCACAGUAGCAACUUGACAGCUGAGCCCAGUGGUUAAAGGGGAGCGAAGCAGGAGGCGGAAGAGCAGUGGGGGGGAAGUGCUGUUUACCCAAGCCAGGGAGAGGAGGGGGAGCGCGCUCUCCGUUCUGAGCAGAGGAGAAGGGAGCUGGACUCCUCCUUACUGACCCCCUGAUUUUGACCCCCACCCCUAAAGUGGGAGCUGAGCAGAUUGUGAGCUGUGGUUCAAAUUCAGCAGUGACGCCAACGAUGGUGUAAAUGACUUUCCUGCACCUCCUGCUGUCUAGGGCUCAGCGUUAGCCCUCCGCACCCAUCUCCUGAGGUCGCCACAGAUCACAGUGUGUCUGGGCCCCAUUUGGCUGGGGGUUUCCCAUCUUGCAAGCAAAGGCGAGGUGACAACAACCUCUUACCCACCGGGUGUUCAGUGCAGGUGCACCAGUGCUCCCAACAUGUCACACUUCCUGUUCUCCACUGGUCCCCCUUUUCCGACCCUCACACCCCAGAGGUAACCUCUGCCCCUGUUUUAAUCCCACAUGAAGCUAGCCCUUGGGAUGGGGCGUCUCACAAAGUCACCACUUCACAGCAAUGGAGUUUUAAUCAAGUCCCUGAGAUGCUAAUUGCUUGUUGAAUGCAGGAGACGGGGUGGUUCAUUGGACAGGGUGUAGGACAGGCAGUGGGUUCUAUGCUUGCCUCUACCACAAUCGCUCUGUGACACCAACCUCGGCCUGACUCUACAAUGGGGAUAGUGUUAAUGGUGCUAUUUAAAGUGUUUAGAGAUUUCUAACUGGAAAGUGCUAUGUAAGUAGUAAGUGUCUCGGAUUCAGCCUCCAACUAAUUUUGCAGCUUUUCUUUCACUCAAACAGGCCCUGCUCAGCUUCUGCCUUUAAACCCAGUCCCCAACAUGCUUUAUUUUUGGGACACUGGAGCAAUUCUGAAGCAAAGGGGAAGCUUGCUGGAGCCCUCUGCAUAGCACUACCCAGAAUGCUUUGCCAGUACCCAGCAGUGCCACCCCCUGAGCCCAGGGAGCACAUGGAAAGGUCGAGGAGUGGUUUGCAAUAGCCCCAAAGGUUUUCUGGGGCACUUUGCAGGGCCAGAUUUGGUGAUGGGUUCGUCCCUCGUUAGUCACGGGGACUUUAUUGUGUUUAGCUUUGGCCUUUGCAAAGAGCUGGUCGCAAAGAGCUGGUCGCAAGGACGCUUGCAGGACGUUUUUAAUAAAAUGGUUUUAGUAUCUUUCA
rnacentral:lncRNA from 1 species